GGAAUGAUGGGAAUUUAAACCUCUUCCAGAGUAUCAAUUGGAGGGCAAGUCUGGUGCCAGCAGCCGCGGUAAUUCCAGCUCCAAUAGCGUAUAUUAAAAUUGUUGCAGUUAAAAAGCUCGUAGUUGAAUUUCUGCUGCAUUGCUUGUGUCCCUCUGGGGUCUGUGCAUGUGGCUUUUUUCGGACGGAGUUUCUUUGUCUGAAUGUUUACUUUGAGAAAAUUAGAGUGCUCAAAGCAGGCUUUCGCCUUGAAUAGUUUAGCAUGGAAUAAUAAAGUAGGACUUUGGUUCUAUUUUGUUGGUUUUAGGUACCAAAGUAAUGGUUAAUAGGAACAGUUGGGGGCAUUCGUAUUUAACUGUCAGAGGUGAAAUUCUUAGAUUUGUUAAAGACGAACUACUGCGAAAGCAUUUGCCAAGGAUGUUUUCAUUAAUCAAGAACGAAAGUUAGGGGAUCGAAGACGAUCAGAUACCGUCGUAGUCCUA
rnacentral:rRNA from 1 species